GGGGGCCUGGGAGGGAACUAGCAUGCGAGUCAUUGUAGUAAUACAAGGCAGACGGCUCAGUAACGCGUAGUCAAUCUACCCUAUGGACGAGAAUAACCUCGGGAAACUGAGAAUAAUGCUCGAUAGAACACUAUGCCUGGAAUGGUUUGUGUUUGAAAUGAUUUAUCGCCGUAGGAUGGGACUGCGGCCUAUCAGUUUGUUGGUGAGGUAAUGGCCCACCAAGACUAUUACAGGUACGGGCUCUGAGAGGAGUGGCCCGGAGAUGGGUACUGAGACACGGACCCAGGCCCUAUGGGGCGCAGCAGGCGAGAAAACUUUGCAAUGUGCGAAAGCACGACAAGGUUAAUCCGAGUGGUUUCUGCUAAAGGAACCUUUUGUCAGUCCUAGAAACACUGAUGAAUAAGGGGUGGGCAAGUUCUGGUGUCAGCCGCCGCGGUAAAACCAGCACCUCAAGUGGUCAGGAUGAUUAUUGGGCCUAAAGCAUCCGUAGCCGGCUUUGUAAGUUUUCGGUUAAAUCCAUGCGCUCAACGUAUGGGCUGCCGGGAAUACUGCAAAGCUAGGGAGUGGGAGAGGUAGACGGUACUCGGUAGGAAGGGGUAAAAUCCUUUGAUCUAUUGAUGACCACCUGUGGCGAAGGCGGUCUACCAGAACACGUCCGACGGUGAGGGAUGAAAGCUGGGGGAGCAAACCGGAUUAGAUACCCGGGUAGUCCCAGCUGUAAACUAUGCAAACUCAGUGAUGCAUUGGCUUGAUGCCAAUGCAGUGCUGCAGGGAAGCCGUUAAGUUUGCCGCCUGGGAAGUACGUACGCAAGUAUGAAACUUAAAGGAAUUGGCGGGGGAGCACCACAAGGGGUGAAGCCUGCGGUUCAAUUGGAGUCAACGCCGGG
rnacentral:rRNA from 1 species